AGUUUAUCUCGAAAACCAUUGGAUUUAGGAUAGGGUGUUUCAUAGUCAAAUCCGUCAGAAAUGAUCUAAACUAUAGCCCCUUAAAGGGUCUAGGUCGACUUAUGAGGUAACCCUGUAUAUUUCAACAAGAAAUGGCUAACAAAAGCCAGCAACCGUCAAUAUAUUGUUAUCACGAAUAGACUUAAUACUUUAUGUUUGAUAGAGAUUACGGAGAAAAUAAUUUUACUUCUAAUUGAACUUAAGUCGUCAUCAUGAGUCUGCCGGUUCAAUUCUAACCUGUUGAGAAGAACCGGCCGGCAAACUCGAUACUCCAAUCUUAAUGCCUCCUGUAACAAGUCGACUUACAUCGUCAACUUGUUAGUAUUUUAUAACAGCGCAAGAAUCUCUUAUGAUUAUUUCUAUUUUACAAUAUAUUUAUAACGCAGUAACUACCUCCAAAAUUCUACUUCUCUCUUAUAGUGCCUUAAUGUCGGGUUUCUAUUUGUAAUUCAUACUUGCGUGGCCUUGUUUGUUACCUAAGUAAUAUAAUGAAUUUAGAUGAAAAAACCUUAUUGUCAAGACUGAAAAUAUACGGAGACCUCUUAUGCAAGCGAUCAAAGUUACGACACCACGCGACUGUAUUUAGUAUCAUUUCACGAUAUAAAGUACAUAAUAUAAUAAUCAUUAUUCACAAUAAAAAUAUUGUACAGUAGACCAUAAUAUCUAUAUCCCGAAUCCGUUAUCUGGGAUAUAUUCCACAAAUUAGCGUAAAUUCAGAUAACUAGAAGCAGUAAAGAAUGCAUACUGCAUUCGCCGCGCAGACUCAUUUUGUGUUGAGUGAGUACGAAUUCAAAGACUCGUCUAAGUUAGUCUACUGUAUAACAUUUAUUCUGUGAUAUAUUUUAACAUUUAUCAUGACAUUAGGUCAGUAGGACAGCGACGAUUUUGCCUUCGAUCCGUUAUCCAGUCGAUCCAGGGUUAUCGUAACAGCAGCAGGGUCAGAUUUUAUUUGUUUACACUCAUUUUUAGUAUAUUAACGAUAACAUUUUAUUCUGUGAUCCUAAAAUGAACUAUAUUUAUGAAUUUAACAUGAAUUUACCAUCGCGAAUUAUAAUAUUAUUCUAUGUUUUCCAAAGAAUUAUAAAUAUCUUAGUACCAUAUUAUUAUAUAAAACACACUUACAGUACAUCCAAGCAUUUAUUUUCGGUUUGACACGAACUUGACUUGAAUGUAUAGCAGUCUCAACUUUGUACAUAUUUUUAUAACGCCUUUAUUAGUUAAUAAUCAAUUAAAUCUUUAUAUUAUACACUUCUCUUUGUAGUAAAAUACGUAGUUAGAAAGUAGACACUUGUACUUAUGUUAUUGUUGAAUUUUGAUUGUUAA